rnacentral:rRNA from 1 species
AGUGAACGCUGGCGGUAGGCCUAACACAUGCGAGUCGAACGGCAGCACAGUAAGAGCUUGCUCUUACGGGUGGCGAGUGGCGGACGGGUGAGGAAUACAUCGGAAUCUACUUUUUCGUGGGGGAUAACGUAGGGAAACUUACGCUAAUACCGCAUAAGACCUACGGGUGAAAGCAGGGGAUCUUCGGACCUUGCGCGAUUGAAUGAGCCGAUGUCGGAUUAGCUAGUUGGCGGGGUAAAGGCCCACCAAGGCGACGAUCCGUAGCUGGUCUGAGAGGAUGAUCAGCCACACUGGAACUGAGACACGGUCCAGACUCCUACGGGAGGCAGCAGUGGGGAAUAUUGGACAAUGGGCGCAAGCCUGAUCCAGCCAUACCGCGUGGGUGAAGAAGGCCUUCGGGUUGUAAAGCCCUUUUGUUGGGAAAGAAAAGCAGCAGGUUAAUACCCCGCUGUUCUGACGGUACCCAAAGAAUAAGCACCGGCUAACUUCGUG